GAUGAACGCUGGCGGCGUGCCUAAUACAUGCAAGUCGAGCGAACAGACGAGGAGCUUGCUCCUCUGACGUUAGCGGCGGACGGGUGAGUAACACGUGGAUAACCUACCUAUAAGACUGGGAUAACUUCGGGAAACCGGAGCUAAUACCGGAUAAUAUAUUGAACCGCAUGGUUCAAUAGUGAAAGACGGUUUUGCUGUCACUUAUAGAUGGAUCCGCGCCGCAUUAGCUAGUUGGUAAGGUAACGGCUUACCAAGGCAACGAUGCGUAGCCGACCUGAGAGGGUGAUCGGCCACACUGGAACUGAGACACGGUCCAGACUCCUACGGGAGGCAGCAGUAGGGAAUCUUCCGCAAUGGGCGAAAGCCUGACGGAGCAACGCCGCGUGAGUGAUGAAGGUCUUCGGAUCGUAAAACUCUGUUAUUAGGGAAGAACAAAUGUGUAAGUAACUAUGCACGUCUUGACGGUACCUAAUCAGAAAGCCACGGCUAACUACGUGCCAGCAGCCGCGGUAAUACGUAGGUGGCAAGCGUUAUCCGGAAUUAUUGGGCGUAAAGCGCGCGUAGGCGGUUUUUUAAGUCUGAUGUGAAAGCCCACGGCUCAACCGUGGAGGGUCAUUGGAAACUGGAAAACUUGAGUGCAGAAGAGGAAAGUGGAAUUCCAUGUGUAGCGGUGAAAUGCGCAGAGAUAUGGAGGAACACCAGUGGCGAAGGCGACUUUCUGGUCUGUAACUGACGCUGAUGUGCGAAAGCGUGGGGAUCAAACAGGAUUAGAUACCCUGG
rnacentral:rRNA from 1 species